rnacentral:rRNA from 1 species
UACGGAGGGGGGCUAGCGUUGUUCGGAAUUACUGGGCGUAAAGCGCACGUAGGCGGCUUUGUAAGUUAGAGGUGAAAGCCCAGGGCUUAACCCUGGAAUUGCCUUUAAGACUGCAUCGCUAGAAUCGUGGAGAGGUGAGUGGAAUUCCGAGUGUAGAGGUGAAAUUCGUAGAUAUUCGGAAGAACACCAGUGGCGAAGGCGACUCACUGGACACGUAUUGACGCUGAGGUGCGAAAGCGUGGGGAGGCAAACAGG